CAUAGGAAGCACCAUGUACCCCUGCCCCUGGCUAGAGGGUCUGGCCACUCCCCUUUCUACCCACACCCUCUGUGGGCCACCUAAUGUGGGGAGUGGGAAUACCACCCUGCAGACCCCUCCCUUCUCUGGCCACAGGCAGCUAGUCCCACGUCCAGCCUGCCAAAGCCCUCUGCAGCCCCCACCCCUGCCCGCCUCUACUCCCAGGAGUGGAGGGCUCUCUUUGCAGGAGCCCAGAAGUUCAUUUCCUGUUCCAGCAGCUCCUGAGGUUGGGUCUCCCAUGGCUGCAGCUGGCUGACCGGCCCCAUGCUGCGCUCUCCUCUCUGGCCUCAACUCGCUGUGACUCUAGCAUGGUUUAGUGGAUCCAGCCUCACUCCAUUUACAGGAACCCCGCGUGCCUUCCAUCGUCCUCUGCAUCUCAGCUCUGACUUGGCAGCCCUCCGACCUCGGCCUGGUUACUUCGCCUUUCAGCAGCUUCUUUAUGUGGCUGCAGUGAGAAUUAAGUGACAUAAUCCAUGUACAGUGCCAGGCACACAGAAGGUCAUUCAGGAAAGAUGAUUAAACUACUCACCCAGGGACACUGACUGUGAUCUACCCAGAGCUGUCUCUCCUGAGCCCAGCAGCCAGAUUUUCACUCCUGCCCAUGAGGUUCUUCAUGAACAUUAAACAUCCUGCAAGUUCUAUGCUGUGGCCCUCCAAGUGUGGACCCCAGACCAGCAGCCUCAGUAUCACCCAGGAACUUUCAGAAAUGCAAAUCCCUGGGUCCCACCCCAGACCCGGGAGUUGGAGAUGGAGGGUGAGGCCAGCCCCCAGAGGUGACUGGAGCAAUUCUGAGCCUAGGUCUCAAGAAGUCUUGCACUCUUCUGCUCGAUUUCUUGGAACCCUGCACGGCAGGCCUGUUGGAGGAUCACAGAUACACGGCUCAGUCCCCACAACUGCGCUAGCAACCCACCAGCCAACCCCCAGACAUGUGAGAGAUGCCAUCUUAGACCAGCCAGCCCCCAGCCCCCAGCUGAUCCUUCACUGAUACAGAUGCAGGAGCUAGCCCAGCCAAGAUGAGCCCCCAGCCUGCCAAGACCAGUAGAACCUCCCAUUGAGCCUAACCUUAAUGACUGACCUGCAUAAUCGUGAGCUAGAAAUGUGGUUGUUGUUUUAAUCCUCUAA